rnacentral:rRNA from 1 species
AAGUAAUCUACCUUCGAGUGGGGAAUAACAGUCGGAAACGACUGCUAAUACCGCAUAAUGCAGCGGCAUCGCAAGAUGACAGUUGUUAAAGAUUUAUCGCUUGAAGAGGAGCUUGCGGCAGAUUAGCUAGUUGGUAAGGUAAUGGCUUACCAAGGCUACGAUCUGUAACCGGUCUAAGAGGACGGUCGGUCACACUGACACUGAAUAACGGGUCAGACUCCUACGGGAGGCAGCAGUCGGGAAUUUUGGGCAAUGGGGGAAACCCUGACCCAGCAACGCCGCGUGAAGGAUGAAGUAUUUCGGUAUGUAAACUUCGAAAGAAUAGGAAGAAUUAAUGACGGUACUAUUUAUAAGGUCCGGCUAACUACGUGCCAGCAGCCGCGGUAAUACGUAGGGACCAAGCGUUGUUCGGAUUUACUGGGCGUAAAGGGCGCGUAGGCGGCGUGGUAAGUCACUUGUGAAAUCUCUGAGCUUAACUCAGAACGGCCAAGUGAUACUGCUGUGCUAGAGUGCAGAAGGGGCAAUCGGAAUUCUUGGU